ACACUCCUACGGGAGGCAGCAGUGGGGAAUUAUGGACAAUGGGCGAAAGCCUGAUCCAGCCAUGCCGCGUGCAGGAUGAAGGCCUUCGGGUUGUAAACUGCUUUUGUACGGAACGAAACGGCCUUUUCUAAUAAAGAGGGCUAAUGACGGUACCGUAAGAAUAAGCACCGGCUAACUACGUGCCAGCAGCCGCGGUAAUACGUAGGGUGCAAGCGUUAAUCGGAAUUACUGGGCGUAAAGCGUGCGCAGGCGGUUAUGUAAGACAGUUGUGAAAUCCCCGGGCUCAACCUGGGAACUGCAUCUGUGACUGCAUAGCUAGAGUACGGUAGAGGGGGAUGGAAUUCCGCGUGUAGCAGUGAAAUGCGUAGAUAUGCGGAGGAACACCGAUGGCGAAGGCAAUCCCCUGGACCUGUACUGACGCUCAUGCACGAAAGCGUGGGGAGCAAACAGGAUUAGAAACCCUAGUAGUCCC
rnacentral:rRNA from 1 species